rnacentral:rRNA from 1 species
GACGAACCGUCCGAACGUUAUUCGGAAUCACUGGGCUUAAAGGGUGCGUAGGCGGUGUCGUAAGUCGGGUGUGAAAUCCCUCAGCUUAACUGAGGAAUUGCGCCCGAUACUGCGGUGCUGGAGGGAGACAGGGGUGAGCGGAACUGAUGGUGGAGCGGUGAAAUGUGUUGAUAUCAUCAGGAACACCGGUGGCGAAGGCGGCUCACUGGGUCUCUACUGACGCUGAGGCACGAAAGCUAGGGGAGCAAACGGG